GUUUUGUAAUUCCAAAUCAGACAGUCCUGAAACGACGCAGCUGACACUGUGGGAAGGUGUACUCUCAAUCUGAGGUGGAACUGGUCUGUGCAAUCAAGAACAUUUAUUUUUAUAGCUUUUUGAAAUUAGAGACAAAACAGCAUAUAUAUGGAAGUUGUGGGGGCUCUUAUUUUGUAUUUCCACAUCAGACAGUCCAGAAACGACGCAGCUGACAUCAUGG